rnacentral:tRNA from 1 species
GGGGUUUAGCUCAGUGGUAGAGCACUUGCCUAGCAAGCACAAGGCCCUGGGUUCGGUCCCCAGCUCCG